rnacentral:rRNA from 1 species
AACGAACGCUGGCGGCAGGCCUAACACAUGCAAGUCGAGCGCACCUUCGGGUGAGCGGCGGACGGGUUAGUAACGCGUGGGAGUAUACCCGACACUAAGGAAUAGCCUCUGGAAACGGAGAGUAAUACCUUAUACGCCCUUGGGGAAGGAUUAUCGGUGACGGAUUAGCCCGCGUUAGAUUAGAUAGUUGGUGGGGGUAAGU